GCCUAGUUAGCUUAGUUGGUAGUGCGUCUGCCUCGUGAGCGCUAGGCCGCGGGUUCGAUUCCCGCCCGGGGCG
rfam:Asian citrus Psyllid, Diaphorina citri - Florida Strain, whole genome shotgun sequence.